AACAACACACGUAUCAGAACAGAGAUGGAUUCCACAAAUAAAAUGAUAAGAUUAUGUAGUAUCUGUCGUCAACCAGGACACAACAAGAACAAUUGUCCCAAUCGAGGAGCAUCAUCUAGGUCUUAAGCUUUUUGUAACAUUGUAUUUCUGUAACCUUCAAUCAUUAUAUAUCAUUAAGUUUUUGUUACAAUGAGGUUCACAACAAACAUCAGUACAAAAUAAGCUAUCUGAAAACAUAAAUAUUUCUAACUGAUUACAACAAUCAAAUUGACUUCGUCUCGACCGAACAUCAUUUUCCUAGCAUCCUUGUCAGUCUUCAU
rnacentral:lncRNA from 1 species